rnacentral:rRNA from 1 species
UACGGAGGGUGCGAGCGUUGUUCGGAAUCACUGGGCGUAAAGCGCGUGUAGGCGGCCCAUUAAGUCUGAUGUGAAAGCCCACGGCUCAACCGUGGAGGGUCAUUGGAAACUGGGGAACUUGAGUGCAGAAGAGGAAAGUGGAAUUCCAAGUGUAUCGGUGAAAUGCGUAGAGAUUUGGAGGAACACCAGUGGCGGAGGCGACUUUCUGGUCUGUAACUGACACUGAGGCGCGAAAGCGUGGGGAGCAAACAGG